rnacentral:rRNA from 1 species
UGGGGAAUAUUGGGCAAUGGGGGCAACCCUGACCCAGCGACGCCGCGUGGGGGAAGACGGCCUUCGGGUUGUAAACCUCCUUUGUACGGGAAGAAGGAAGUGACGGUACUGUACGAAUAAGUCCCGGCUAACUACGUGCCAGCAGCCGCGGUAAUACGUAGGGGACGAGCGUUGUCCGGAAUUACUGGGCGUAAAGGGCGCGCAGGCUGUGCUGCAAGUCAGCUGUUAAAUGUCUGGGCUUAACCCGGGCAUGCGGUUGAGACUGCGGUGCUAGAGUGCUGUAGAGGCAAGUGGAAUUCCCAGUGUAGCGGUGAAAUGCGUAGAUAUUGGGAAGAACACCGGUGGCGAAGGCGACUUGCUGGGCAGCAACUGACGCUGAGGCGCGAAAGCCAGGGGAGC